AUCUCCCAUUAAAUUUUAUAUCAAAAUAAUGGUUUGCCUAUAAAUUUCAUGUUUUAAUACAUUUAAACUUAAAGUACGAGAAAUCCAAAUAGUUUUUGGAUCAAGACCAUUAUAAUAAACUCCUUCGGGACCAUGCACAAUAUUUCUAUCAAAAUAUAAGAAGAUUGGAAUUGGUUGAUGCGCCACAUGAAAAUUUUCUAUUGUGAAAUAAAUUGAUAUAAGAUAAAUUAUACGUAGAAAUUAAAAAACAUACAAACAAAAUAACACCAAAAUGUGUAGAAAAGAUUUGUUUAGAAAAUUUCAAAGGAGUACAAAUGGUCUUCACGAAUCCAAUCUAGAGCAACUAGUACAUUUGGAACCCUUUAAAUUAUAUAAAUAAGAUAUGUAGUAAAAAUUGGAGAAGUAGAAGAGAAAUGAGUAUAUUUUAAAGUGUAUAAAGAAGAGAGGAAUGAGAGUGAGGUUGAAAUUAACAAAUAUUUAACUAUUUAUAGAGAAGUUUGAUUUUUUUAAUAUUAAAAUCAAAAUGUGCAGGUUAUAGUCAUAACUGUUGGGAAUCCGGUACUCGCCCCGGUACCGGAUCUUGUGAAUCCACAACCCGCUUCGAUACUGACUGCUGUGAAUCUGGUACCGAUGGUUGGUAUUCUGCAACGGAAACAUCAAAUCGGAUUUUUACCAUAAACCCGUCUCCUCAGCAAAAACUGAUACAAUCAUAAAAGAGAAAAAUAUGCAGGUAAAAUAAGAUUCAUUAAAUAAGAGAAGAUUACACCUGACUUCUCUUUUACACAGAGUAGCUACAAUCUGAGCCCUCUUUCUUGAAUCGCUUCUACCUUUCUCUCGUCUUCUAUAAACCCACAAAGAAGACCUCUCCGCGUGCACCCGUGCACAAGGUGCACUCAACUCAUUAACUCU
rnacentral:lncRNA from 1 species